rnacentral:tRNA from 1 species
GUGGGCGUAGUGUAGCGGUUAGCACGAGAGGUUGUGAUCCUUUUAGGGCGAGUUCGAAUCUCGUCGCCCACC